GCUCUGGUGGCCAUACCGAAGGGGAAACACCCGUUCCCAUUCCGAACACGGAAGUUAAGCCCUUCAGGGCCGAUGGUACUGCACCGGCGACGGUGCGGGAGAGUAGGACGCUGCCAGGGCU
rnacentral:rRNA from 2 species